CUAACAUUUUACUAAACACCAGCAGCCU
rnacentral:misc_RNA from 1 species